rnacentral:rRNA from 1 species
GCGUUAAUCGGAAUUACUGGGCGUAAAGCGCGCGUAGGUGGUUUGGUAAGUCGGAUGUGAAAUCCCCGGGCUCAACCUGGGAACUGCAUUCGAAAUUGCUUGGAUAGAGUUUGAGAGAGGGAAGUGGUGUUCCACAUGUAGCGGUGAAAUGCGUAGAUAUGUGGAGGAACAUCAGUGGCGAAGGCGGCUUCCUGGCUUAAAACUGACACUGUGGCGCGAAAGCGUG